GUCGAGCGGAAACGAUCCUAGCUUGCUAGGAGGCGUCGAGCGGCGGACGGGUGAGUAAUGCAUAGGAAUCUGCCCGGUAGUGGGGGAUAACCUGGGGAAACCCAGGCUAAUACCGCAUACGCCCUACGGGGGAAAGCAGGGGAUCUUCGGACCUUGCGCUAUCGGAUGAGCCUAUGUCGGAUUAGCUAGUUGGUGAGGUAACGGCUCACCAAGGCUGCGAUCCGUAGCUGGUCUGAGAGGAUGAUCAGCCACAUCGGGACUGAGACACGGCCCGAACUCCUACGGGAGGCAGCAGUGGGGAAUAUUGGACAAUGGGCGAAAGCCUGAUCCAGCCAUGCCGCGUGUGUGAAGAAGGCCUUCGGGUUGUAAAGCACUUUCAGUGAGGAAGAAAGCCUUGAGGUUAAUACCCUCGAGGGAGGACAUCACUCACAGAAGAAGCACCGGCUAACUCCGUGCCAGCAGCCGCGGUAAUACGGAGGGUGCGAGCGUUAAUCGGAAUUACUGGGCGUAAAGCGCGCGUAGGCGGCUUGAUAAGCCGGUUGUGAAAGCCCCGGGCUCAACCUGGGAACGGCAUCCGGAACUGUCAGGCUAGAGUGCAGGAGAGGAAGGUAGAAUUCCCGGUGUAGCGGUGAAAUGCGUAGAGAUCGGGAGGAAUACCAGUGGCGAAGGCGGCCUUCUGGACUGACACUGACGCUGAGGUGCGAAAGCGUGGGUAGCAAACAGGAUUAGAUACCCUGGUAGUCCACGCCGUAAACGAUGUCGACUAGCCGUUGGGCUCCUUGAGAGCUUUGUGGCGCAGUUAACGCGAUAAGUCGACCGCCUGGGGAGUACGGCCGCAAGGUUAAGACUCAUAUGAAUUGACGGGGGCCCGCACAAGCGGUGGAGCAUGUGGUUUAAUUCGAUGCAACGCGAAGAACCUUACCUACCCUUGACGUCGAGAGAACUUUCCAGAGAUGGAUUGGUGCCUUCGGGAACUCUCAAACAGGUGCUGCAUGGCUGUCGUCAGCUCGUGUUGUGAAAUGUUGGGUUAAGUCCCGUAAC
rnacentral:rRNA from 1 species